rnacentral:rRNA from 1 species
AGCGAACGGAUAAGGAGCUUGCUCCUUUGAAGUUAGCGGCGGACGGGUGAGUAACACGUGGGUAACCUACCUAUAAGACUGGGAUAACUUCGGGAAACCGGAGCUAAUACUGGAUAACAUUUAGAACCGCAUGGUUCUAAAGUGAAAGAUGGUUUUGCUAUCACUUAUAGAUGGACCCGCGCCGUAUUAGCUAGUUGGUAAGGUAACGGCUUACCAAGGCGACGAUACGUAGCCGACCUGAGAGGGUGAUCGGCCACACUGGAACUGAGACACGGUCCAGACUCCUACGGGAGGCAGCAGUAGGGAAUCUUCCGCAAUGGGCGAAAGCCUGACGGAGCAACGCCGCGUGAGUGAUGAAGGGUUUCGGCUCGUAAAACUCUGUUAUUAGGGAAGAACAAAUGUGUAAGUAACUGUGCACAUCUUGACGGUACCUAUCAGAAAGCCACGGCUAACUACGUGGCAGCAGCCGCGGUAAUACGUAGGUGGCAAGCGUUAUCCGGAAUUAUUGGGCGUAAAGCGCGCGUAGGCGGUUUCUUAAGUCUGAUGUGAAAGCCCACGGCUCAACCGUGGAGGGUCAUUGGAAACUGGGAAACUUGAGUGCAGAAGAGGAAAGUGGAAUUCCAUGUGUAGCGGUGAAAUGCGCAGAGAUAUGGAGGAACACCAGUGGCGAAGGCGACUUUCUGGUCUGUAACUGACGCUGAUGUGCGAAAGCGUGGGGAUCAAAC